AGAUUGAACGCUGGCGGCAUGCCUAACACAUGCAAGUCGAACGGGAGUAGCAAUACUCUAGUGGCGGACGGGUGAGGAAUACGUAGGAAUUUGCCCUUAAGUGGGGGAUAACCCGGGGAAACCCGGAUUAAUACCGCAUGACCUCGAAAGAGCAAAGUGGGGGAUCGCAAGACCUCACGCUUUUGGAGAAGCCUACGUCGGAUUAGCUAGUUGGUGAGGUAAUGGCUCACUAAGGCGACGAUCCGUAAACUGGUCUGAGAGGAUGAUCAGUCACACCGGAACUGAGACACGGUCCGGACUCCUACGGGAGGCAGCAGUGGGGAAUAUUGGACAAUGGGCGCAAGCUGAU
rnacentral:rRNA from 1 species